rnacentral:rRNA from 1 species
GACGAACGCUGGCGGCGUGCUUAACACAUGCAAGUGGAGCGACGAACCGGUCUUCGGACCGGGGCAGAGCCGCGAACGGGUGAGUAACACGUGGGUAACCCACCCCGAUGACCGGGACAACCCGAGGAAACUCGGGCUAAUACCGGAUGAGCUCUCAUCUUUUGAGAGAUGUGAGGAAAGAUAGCUUCGGCCUUCGCAUCGGGACGGGCCCGGCGGCCCAUUAGCUUGUUGGUGGGGUAACGGCCACCAAGGCGACGAUGGGUAGCUGGUCUGAGAGGACGAUCAGCCACACUGGGACUGAGACACGGCCCAGACUCCUACGGGAGGCAGCAGUGGGGAAUCUUGCACAAUGCGCGAAAGCGUGAUGCAGCAACGCCG